rnacentral:rRNA from 1 species
AUUGAACGCUGGCGGCAUGCCUUACACAUGCAAGUCGAACGGCAGCACGGGUGCUUGCACCUGGUGGCGAGUGGCGAACGGGUGAGUAAUACAUCGGAACAUGUCCUGUAGUGGGGGAUAGCCCGGCGAAAGCCGGAUUAAUACCGCAUACGAUCUACGGAUGAAAGCGGGGGACCUUCGGGCCUCGCGCUAUAGGGUUGGCCGAUGGCUGAUUAGCUAGUUGGUGGGGUAAAGGCCUACCAAGGCGACGAUCAGUAGCUGGUCUGAGAGGACGACCAGCCACACUGGGACUGAGACACGGCCCAGACUCCUACGGGAGGCAGCAGUGGGGAAUUUUGGACAAUGGGCGAAAGCCUGAUCCAGCAAUGCCGCGUGUGUGAAGAAGGCCUUCGGGUUGUAAAGCACUUUUGUCCGGAAAGAAAUCCUUGGCCCUAAUACGGUCGGGGGAUGGCAGUACCGGAAGAAUAAGCACCGGCUAACUACGU